CUGCUCACUUUGGCAGCACACGUUCCAAAAUUGGAACGAUACACAGGAGAUUAGUGUGGCCCUGCACUAGGAUGACAUGCAAAUGCACGAAGCAGUCCAUUUUGUU